UUGAAUAUUUGGUAGAAUUUGCAGAUUGCUACUACGCAAAGAUUGGAGGAGAAAAUUCAGAAACUUCAGAAACAGCUCAGUGAUUUGAAAUUGUCAAAUAAAAAUAUGAAAACUCAGCUGACAAGAGUAAAUGUCCUUAAAGACAAAACAAUUGAAGAGCUCAGGCAAUCUUUAGCAAAUGUUGAAACGAUGAAAGAGAAGGCAAAUGUUGAAACGAUGAAAGAGAAGGCAGUUGUGAAAACAGAAAACUUGAAAACUACAUUAGACUCUGCAGAGCAAAAGGCAAGAUCAGACAAAGAGAAGACCCAGCAGAUGUUAGAUGCUGUCACUUCUGAGCCCCCAAUAGCAAAGAGCACACCUGAAGAAGUAUCAGGACAAGAACAAGAGGCCUAUCCAGAGAUUCCAGUUCAGUUUGUGGUAUGAGGCUGAAGUAUGGAUAUUUUUUUCAAAGCUCCUUAAGUAUAUAAAUCGAUAAAAUUACUUUGGAAGACUGGCAGUGUACGAGUUUUCUGUUGCUGCUGUAACAAAUUAUCAUAAACUUUGUGGCUAAAACAGUACAAAUUUAUUAUCUUACAGUUCUAGAGGUCCCAUUGGGCUAAAAUUAAA
rnacentral:lncRNA from 1 species